GAGACGGUUGGAGAGGGUGAGGCGCGAGUCACUGGGGAGCGUCGUGCCUUUGGGGAAAUAGUGGCUCUGAUUGACAGCUAAUUUGACCUUCGCUUGCAAGUGGGAGACAGAGCAAUAGAGGAAAGGUUGGGUAGUGGAAUACUACUCGCGAAAUCUUUAUAAAGAACUAAAUGUCAGCUUCUUGGUCUUUGUUGCAGCCGAUGCUGUAGAUAGAAGAGGAGACGAGGCCAUUCUGAAAGGUAAGCCUCAUUAUUUGUGGGGAAAAUGAGAUGAAUGUGGCACUGAUGAAUCCUUGAGCAGAUAUCAAGCUUAGUGGGAAGCUCUCCUCAUGGCCAGUUCCAAAUGAAGUGCAGUCACUGAUGGUUGGCUGGAAGGGGACUGAGCAAUGGUGAAGACCGAGCUGUAUGACGGAUGGCUGUAGGGUGGCCUUUGCUGUGUUUGAUCGCAGUUGGAGCUCUCGAGCACGAUGAGGAAGACCGCUGUGGUCCAUCUGGCCUGGUCUUUAAUCAGUGCUUCCCUUCAGAGAGGGGGCCACGCUUUCCCUGUGCUGACCAGGCCAGCUUUUGCUUAGAGCAACCACAAGAUGAAUGUAGCUUAUUCAUUAUAUUAUUCAGCCCUCUGCAACAGUGAAUGUCUAUAGUGGAUUUUAGUUGGUCUAUAAUGAAUUUUAAUAAUAAUGUAUCUAAUUAUGUCUGUUUUAAGUUUUAAAAGAAAGAAAAAAGUUGGCAUAUCUUUGAUCAGAUGUGUCAUACCCAUGGAAAAAUUGCUUCUUAUAUAUCUUACACUGUUUAAAUAUUGCACACACACACACACACACACA